rnacentral:tRNA from 1 species
AGAGAUGUAGCUCAAUGGUAGAGCAUUUCGCUAGCAUGCACAAGGCCCUGGGUUUGAUUCCCAGCACCACAU